rnacentral:rRNA from 1 species
AAUCCAUAGGUUAAUGAGGCGAACCGGGGGAACUGAAACAUCUAAGUACCCCGAGGAAAAGAAAUCAACCGAGAUUCCCCCAGUAGCGGCGAGCGAACGGGGAGGAGCCCAGAGCCUGAAUCAGCAUGUGUGUUAGUGGAAGCGUCUGGAAAGGCGCGCGAUACAGGGUGACAGCCCCGUACACAAAAGCGCAUGUGCUGUGAGCUCGAUGAGUAGGGCGGGACACGUGGUAUCCUGUCUGAAUAUGGGGGGACCAUCCUCCAAGGCUAAAUACUCCUGACUGACCGAUAGUGAACCAGUACCGUGAGGGAAAGGCGAAAAGAACCCCGGCGAGGGGAGUGAAAA